rnacentral:rRNA from 1 species
UACAUAGGGGGCAAGCGUUGUCCGGAAUGACUGGGCGUAAAGGGUGUGUAGGCGGUUUCGCAAGUUGGAAGUGUAAUACCUAGAGCUUAACUCAGGUGCUGCUUCCAAAACUGCGAGACUUGAGUGUCGGAGAGGAAAAUGGAAUUCCUAGUGUAGCGGUGGAAUGCGUAGAUAUUAGGAGGAACACCAGAGGCGAAAGCGAUUUUCUGGACGAUAACUGACGCUGAGGCACGAAAGCGUGGGGAGCAAACAGGAUUAGAAACCCCAGUAGUCC